GAUAAAAUGGCUGAGUAAAACAUUAGACUGUAAAUCUAAGGACAGAGGCUAAACCUCUUUUUACCA
rfam:Papio anubis isolate 1X1155 chromosome 15, whole genome shotgun sequence.